rnacentral:pre_miRNA from 1 species
CAAAUACUCCCUCCAUCCGGAAAUACUUGUCAUCAAAAUGGAUAAAAGGAAAUGUAUCUAGACGUAUUUUAGUUUUAGAUACAUCUCUUUUUAUCCAUUUUGAUGACAAGUAUUUUCGGACGAAGGGGGUAGAAA